UACGGGGGGAGCAAGCGUUGUUCGGAUUUACUGGGCGUAAAGGGCGCGUAGGCGGCCACCGCAAGUCGACUGUGAAAUCUCCGGGCUUAACUCGGAAAGGUCAGCCGAUACUGCGGGGCUAGAGUGCAGAAGGGGCAACUGGAAUUCUCGGUGUAGCGGUGAAAUGCGUAGAUAUCGGGAGGAACACCUGUGGCGAAGGCGGCCCCCUGGUCCGAUACUGACGCUAAUACGCGAAAGCGUGGGGAGCAAACAGG
rnacentral:rRNA from 1 species